rnacentral:lncRNA from 1 species
UGCAUGCAUUAUAGAUUAAAUUAUUUAAUCUAUGUAUAAUCUACUAUAAAUUUUUAAAAAUAUAUGCACAAAAUCCACCACACUUUUCUGUACGAACUCUGAAGAGCUUUAGUAAAUGGAUCGACCAGAUUCUCCUUUCCGUCGAUCUUCUGAAGGUCGAUAUCACCUCGAUCUAUGAUCUCCCAGAUAAGGUGAUAGCAGUGCAGAAUAUAUUUGAUGCUCUG